CCAUCCCCGCCGCCACACUCCACCUUUGUCGUCUCCCACCUCGGGAUCUCCUCUUUCCCCAAUCCAUGGAUCCACCCAACCAGAGCUCUCCUGCCUCCACGAAUACGAGUGCCCGUGCCCCUGCCGCCCUAGCAGCAGCAGCAACAACCUCGCGCAAUCCCCUACCUCGUCCUUGCGCUGCCCCCAGGAACCAACCGAGGAAAGAGCCUCGCGCUCGUGUGCGGGCACGAACAUGAGCUUCUGCGCCCGCGCCUCGAUCCCGCCGCCUCCCCCUCAACCGGACGACGGCGCCGGCGACCAGCUCCCCCAGGCCGGCCUCGCCUCCCUUCUCUUCCUGUCCCCUUCCUCCCUUGGUUCCUCUUCUCUUUCUCACUCUAGUAUCUCCCGCCCUCUCUGUUCUUCGCAGGAGUAUGCCAUGGAAGCUGCAAGGAGCUCCAGCCCGCCGGCCACCAUCUCCAGUCAGAUCCGUCUGGUCCCGGCCAUCUUCGUCGACCGCCGGCCAUCCCUGCCCGCCUUGCGCGUCGCUGUCGUCGCCUUCGUACCGCAGCCCAAGCGCUGCUCCGCGCCGCGCUGCCUCCUUCUGUCGGGAGCAGACAAAGGAAGCUGCCCCUGCCCGUUGACUUCCCACGCCGGCAUGUGCGCAAGGGCCGCAAGGCUAGGGGCGCCCAGCUCCUUCCGCUCACCCAGCCAACCAAGGGCCAGCAUCGCCAUGGCCGCCGGCCUCUGUUUUCCCGCUCUUCGGUUUCUUUCCGGAGUUGUGAGGAUUCGUUCGACUACGUCCGUUUGUCUUCUUCAUGGACUCGUUCUUCUUCCUUGCGGGAUCUCAGUUGCAGGUGCCGAUGAGACCAGUGCAGGUGACGCAACUGAGCUCAAGUGGGAGCUCGAUGAAGAUCUCCUCCGUUGUGUUGUUUCUUUUCUUGUUGAUCAGUAGUGGAGCCCAGUUGGGACGAUCAGGGAUCUAGCAGUUGGGUUGUCUUCUUUUCUUUUGGUUCCGUAGUCAGACCUAUGUGUGUAUCUUGAAUGAUGUAUGAUUUAAUUAUGUAUUGUGUGAAGUGGCGAUUGUAAGCCAACUCUUUA
rnacentral:rRNA from 1 species